AUGGUUACUUAUAUAAAGGGUGUGAUGAAUGGACUGCCUGGGACCAAUGGACCUGGAGGGGAAGAGAUUAAGGGGGGCAACAUACAGGUUGUUGGUUCAACCAGAACCUCACUACUGGCCAGAGUUGAGAAAUUUAAGAUGGUGAAGUUUUGUCAGUGUAAGUGUUCAGUAUGUCGUCUGAAGGAUCUCCCACAGAGACCGAAAACAAAGAAGUUGCUCCAGAAAAAGAUCAAGAAGACAAGGGAAAAGGAUGCAGGUGUCAGCGUGGAUUUGGAGGAAGAUGCCAGGUGUGGACUGAGCUUCUGUGAACACAUGACCGCAAGACCGAGACAGAAGGGCUACCAGUCUUCCCGUCCUUGCCUGCCUGAGAUCUUCUGCAAUUGUGCAAGAGCUUUGAUUCUCAUAAAGCACUCUGAAUGUCCCAUCUCUUGUCUGCGGCUCCAGGGACAGGGAGCGUCUGGGAAACUGAGAGCAACAGAUGGUGAUAAGACUCCUCCCUGCAAACACUUCUUCAGGAAUGAGUGGAAGAAAAUGAGAAGCAGAUAG
rnacentral:lncRNA from 1 species